AGGAAAGUAAUGUCUCUGGAGUUGAUGAAGGUGCAUGUUAAAUCAUGUGGGCUCACAGUCACUCAUCUUCCCAUUAUCCACAACUCAGUCUUGUGCAUAGUACAUCCUUCAUCUGCCCUGGUGAGUUUUCUUUGUUAAUUAUGUACAUACUCAGUGUGUAAACAGCCAGCCAUGUUUGUACCAUUGUUAGCCUCCUCCCUGUUAUCCAUCAUUUCAACAGUACUGAGAAAUAAUUGGUUCUGGAAAUUCACUGUCUUGCCUGGCCUUAUAGAACAUCCUGCUGGAAUAAGCAGUUCGGACCUUACUUCUAAGAUAGAUGCAGAUCCUAAGGAAAGAGCCAC